GAUGAACGCUAGCCACAGGCUUAACACAUGCAAGUCGAGGGGUAACGAGAGGAAAGCUUGCUUUCCUUGUCGACGACCGGCGCACGGGUGAGUAACGCGUAUCCAACCUGCCCCCAACUAGGGAAUAACCUUGCGAAAGUAAGACUAAUACCCUAUAAUUUCCUCAGAUGUCAUCUGACGAGGAAUAAAGAUUUAUCGGGUGUGGAUGGGGAUGGGUCUGAUUAGCUUGUUGGCGGGGUAACGGCCCACCAAGGCAACGAUCAGUAGGGGUUCUGAGAGGAAGGUCCCCCACGUUGGAACUGAGACACGGUCCAAACUCCUACGGGAGGCAGCAGUGAGGAAUAUUGGUCAAUGGGCGGAAGCCUGAACCAGCCAAGUAGCGUGCAGGAUGACGGCCCUAUGGGUUGUAAACUGCUUUUAUACAGGAAUAAAGUUAGCCACGUGUGGUUAUUUGUAGGUACUGUAUGAAUAAGGACCGGCUAAUUCCGUGCCAGCAGCCGCCGUAA
rnacentral:rRNA from 1 species